rnacentral:lncRNA from 1 species
GAGAAGUAGAGCAAUGCAGGUGACAUUAAUCCUUGCAGAUGGGCUAUCUGAAGAGGAACGGGGACGGGAGCCUGCUCUACAGCGUGGUCAACACGGCCGAGCCGGACGCUGAUGAGGAGGAGACCCACCCGGUGGACUUGAGCUCGCUCUCCAGUAAGCUACUCCCAGGCUUCACCACGCUGGGCUUCAAAGACGAGAGAAGAAACAAAGUCACCUUUCUCUCCAGUGCCACUACUGCGCUUUCGAUGCAGAAUAAUUCAGUAUUUGGCGACUUGAAGUCGGACGAGAUGGAGCUGCUCUACUCAGCCUACGGAGAUGAGACAGGCGUGCAGUGUGCGCUGAGCCUGCAGGAGUUUGUGAAGGAUGCUGGGAGCUACAGCAAGAAAGUGGUGGACG